rnacentral:tRNA from 1 species
GGAGGUGUAGCUCAGUGGUGGAGCUCAGGCUUAGCAUGCACGAGGUGCUGGGUUCUGUCCCCGGUACCUCCA